AUGUACCGCGCGUACGCUCCGGUUCUGAGAGCGCCGCCCGCACUCACCUGACGACCGCUCGCCACGUUCUGUUAGCC
rnacentral:sRNA from 1 species